ensembl:misc_RNA Metazoa_SRP Metazoan signal recognition particle RNA
GCCGGGCGUGGUGGCGCGUGCCUGUAAUCCCAGCUACUGGGAGAGCUGAGGCAGGAGAAUUGCUUGAACCCAGGAGGCAGAGGUUGCAGUGAGCUGAGAUCACGCCACUGCACUCCAGCCUGAGUGACAGAGCCAGAUUCUGUCUCAA